rnacentral:rRNA from 1 species
UGGGGAAUCUUGCGCAAUGGGCGAAAGCCUGACGCAGCCAUGCCGCGUGAAUGAUGAAGGUCUUAGGAUUGUAAAAUUCUUUCACCGGGGACGAUAAUGACGGUACCCGGAGAAGAAGCCCCGGCUAACUUCGUGCCAGCAGCCGCGGUAAUACGAAGGGGGCUAGCGUUGCUCGGAAUUACUGGGCGUAAAGGGAGCGUAGGCGGACAUUUAAGUCAGGGGUGAAAUCCCGGGGCUCAACCUCGGAAUUGCCUUUGAUACUGGGUGUCUUGAGUGUGAGAGAGGUAUGUGGAACUCCGAGUGUAGAGGUGAAAUUCGUAGAUAUUCGGAAGAACACCAGUGGCGAAGGCGACAUACUGGCUCAUUACUGACGCUGAGGCUCGAAAGCGUGGGGAGCAAACAGGAUUAGAUACCCUGGUAGUCCAUGCCGUAAACGAUGAUUGCUAGUUGUCGGGAUGCAUGCAUUUCGGUGACGCAGUAACCAUUAAGCAAUCCGCCUGGGGAGUACGGUCGCAAGAUUAAAACUCAAAGGAAUUGACGGGGGUCAUAGCUGUUUCCUG